AACCAGCACCUCGAGUGGUCAGGAGGUUUAUUGGGCCUAAAGCAUCCGUAGCCGGUUGCUUAAGUUUUCGGUUAAAUCUAUGCGCUUAACGUAUAGGCAGCCGAAAAUACUGGGUAACUAGGGAGUGGGAGAGGUACACGGUACUCACUAGGAAGGGGUAAAAUCCUUUGAUCUAGUGAAGACCACCUGUGGCGAAGGCGGUGUACCAGAACACGUUCGACGGUGAGGGAUGAAAGCUGGGGGAGCAAACCGG
rnacentral:rRNA from 1 species